GAAAAUCUGGGAUGUGUAAGUGGAAACAUGAGAGACCGCUUUAUUUGGCAGUGCUUUGGAAAAAAAAAAAGCUGGACAAAUGGCAAGGCAGUGUUUGGACCGCAGGAUGAACAAUCAAUAGGCAGAAAGCAAGAUAGAGGCUUCCUCAGCUUCUGGAUCGACAAUCGACAGCUGAGAGACUAUUUUUUGCUAUGGUUGACUAAAUAUGGUCAGGGAAGAGAGAGGCACAAGAGAGCCUGUUUGCCUGGGAGUGCAUGUUUCAAAUGCUUAGCUGCCUAUAAAGCUGUAACAGUUCAGCCUGUGGCCACUGAGGGAAGAAUAUAAGUUAACCUUUGUAGUGACCAUGUGGAAGUCCUGACCUUGCUUGCAGACUUGACCUCUGGAUAUGACAAGGUAGCUUCAAUACAGAUCUACCAUUUAAUCCUGGAAACUAAAACAAACAAACAAAAAUCUCACAGCAAGAAAGAUGCAGAAUAUUUCCUGAGAAGUCAGAAGACCCCAAUGUAUUCUGGUGCGCAAAGAAAACAGGGUGAAUGUCUACAGUUACUUGGGGGGAGCAAGAACCAAACCAGGACAAAGUUCAACAGAUUGGUCAAAGUUUAAAAGUGUAUGUCCACCAAGAACAAGGAACCAUGAAUGGCACUAAUGCCAUGCCUCAGAUACUAAAAGUAAAACCACUCAAGUAGAAGUCCAUGACAACUUGACAACCAUUCUUGAAAAGCACUUUGAAGGUAUCAGCCCACUAUCUUCUGGCCUCCGAAGUUUUUGAUGAGAAAUCUGUUGAAAAUCUUAAAAGGAUCUCUUAUAAGUGAAGAGACGCUUCUCUCUUGCUGCUUUCAAGAUUCUCUCUUUGUCUUUUGGAAGUUUGAUUAUAAUGUAUCUCAAUGUGGGGCUGAGUUCAUCCUAUUUGGAAUUCGUUCUGCUUUUUGGAUGUUUAUAUCUUUCAUCAAAUCUGGGGAGUUUCUAGCCAUUGUUUCUUCAAAUAACCUCUCUGCCCCUUUCUCUCUUUCUGCCUUCUCUUUUUAGGAUUCUCACAAUGCGUAUGGUGGUCCACUUGAUGAUGCCCCACAGGUCCCUUAGGCUCUCUUCAUUUUUCUUCUUUUUUCUUUCUGGUUCUCAGACUUGAUCAUUUCCAUUGUCCUAUCUUUCCAGUUCACUGGUUCUUUCUUCUGCCUGGUUAAAUCUCUCUUUGAAUUCCCCUAUGAAGUUUUCAUUUAAGUUCUCGUACUUUUCAGCUUUGGAAUUUGUUUUUAGUUUCUUUUUAGGUGAUCUAUGUCUUCAUUGAUAUUUCCAUUUUGUUCAUACGUAAUUUUCUUGACUUUCUACACAUCUUCAUUUAGUUCUUUGAGAAUCUUUAAGACAACUGUUUUAGAGUCAUUGUCUAGUAGAUUGCCAUCUGGUUUUUCUCAGAUACAUUUACUUGUUGGUUUAUUUUUUUUCCUUUGAAUGGGCCAUAUUUUCCUAUUUUGCUGUUUACCUUGUGAUUUUUCUGUUGAAAACUGGACAUUUGAAUCUAAUAAUGCCGUAAGUCUGGAAAUCAGAGUCUUCUCCUUCUGCAGGGUUUGUUUUUGGUUUUGGUUUGGUUUUGACUGUUUUAGACUGUCUUCAUGCUUACAGCCUGAGGUGUAAACUUAAGGUCUCCUUGGGUCUUUUCUGAGCCUGCACCUUUCCUCAGGUAUGUGCAAUGCCUUUCUAAUUUCCCUCAUAUAUGCAGUUGCUUUUGAAUGUCAUAGUCUUUAAUGCCAGGCUCCCAAAAGGAGAAAAAGAGAAAAAUGGGAGGGGAAGCGGAAAAGAAUGCAGACCUUUAAAUCCUCUGGAAGUAACUUCAGCCAAUGAGGAAGGGCUUGCAACAAUGGGAGGGUGCAACAAUGGCUACCCACCUCUGUGCCUGCACCUCCAUAAUCAGAAGCAGCAAUCAAGGAUUAGAACACCCUGCAAGCUAAUCUAAGAACACAUACCUGGCUGCCUGUCACUGGGCUGGAGGGUGGGGUAUGUGUAGCUCCUGCUGAGCUAAGAGCUGAAAUUGACCAAAAUUAACCACAAUUAACCCCUAAGCCUUCCCUUGGAAGUAGCAAGCCUUCAACAGAAGCCAGAGUUCUAAAAGUUACAUCAGAAAGAUUCUGCCAGUGCAGUUGUUGUCUAGAUGGGGAGAUGGAUUCCUAGUACUUCCUACUCCACCAGAAUCCUCUUGGUAACCAUCAUGAUUUUUUGUUUGUUUUUUUUGGGCUGCGUUGCGUCUUUGUUGCUGCACGAGGGCUUUAUCUAGUUGCAGCGAGCAGGGGUUACUCUUAAUUG